UACGUAGGGGGCGAGCGUUGUCCGGAUUUAUUGGGCGUAAAGAGCGUGUAGGCGGCCAGGUAGGUCUGCUGUGAAAACUCGAGGCUCAACCUCGAGACGUCGGCGGAAACCAUCUGGCUAGAGUCCGGAAGAGGAGAGUGGAAUUCCUGGUGUAGCGGUGAAAUGCGCAGAUAUCAGGAAGAACACCCGUGGCGAAGGCGGCAUCCUGGACCGGCAUUGACGCUGAGGCGCGAAAGCAUGGGGAGCGAACAGG
rnacentral:rRNA from 1 species